rnacentral:rRNA from 1 species
UGCCAGCCGCCGCGGUAAUACCAGCGGUCCAAGUCGCAACCACAUUUAUUGGGUCUAAAACAUCCGUAGCUUGCUGUAUAAGUCCCUUGUGAAAUCCGGCUUCUUAAGAGUCGAAGGGCGAGGGAUACUGUAUGGCUAGAGACCGGGAGAUGUAAGGAGUACGGAUAGAGUAGCGGUUAAAUGUGUUGAUCCUAUCUGGACUAACGAUAGCGAAGGCACCUUACAAGAACGGAUCUGACAGUGAGGGAUGAAGGCUAGGGGCGCAAAACGGAUUAGAUACCCGUGUAGUCCUAGCAGUAAACACUGCACACUAAACAUUGGGGCCUCUUCGAGAGGUUUCAGUGCUGUAGCGAAGGCGUAGAGUGUGCUACCUGGGAAGUAUAGUCGCAAGGCCGAAACUUAAAGGAAUAGGCGGGGGAGCAUACAUCGAGUGACGCGUGCGGUUCAAUUAGAUUCCACACCGUGAACCUCACCAGGACCGACAGCAGGAUGAAGGUCAGUCUGAAGGGCUUACCUGACACGCUGAGAGGAGAUGCAUGGCCGACGUCAGCCUGUGCCGUGAGGUGACCAGUUAAAUCUGGUAACAGGCGAGACCCCUGUGCAUAUUUACUAAUUGUACAAUAUGCAGACUGCCUGCGCUAAGUAGGAGGAAGGUGGGGGCUACGUUAGGUGAGUACGUCCCGAAUGCCCUGGGCAACACGCGCGCGGCAAUGCCAAAUUCAAAGGGCUGCAACACCGAGAGGUGGAGCUAAUCUCAUAAACUUUGGCCUAGUUCAGAUUGAGGGUUGCAACUCACCCUCAUGACGCUGGAAUUCGUAGUAAUCGGGUUUUAUCAGAGCCCGGUGAAUAAGUCCCUGUUCCUUGCACUCACCGAAAGAAAUGUGCUUGGCAGCUUUGUAUUCUAAUGAGUGAAAAUCUCAUAAUUAUUUUUCAAACCGAAAGUGCAGAAAGAUAAUUUAGUCGAGAGCAGGCUUAAUCAGUAAUGAUUACGCUGGAGGGCUUAAGACAAAAUUCAGCCUAGUAUGGAGCAAUCCAUGUUUUACAAUAACGAUCGAUGACACCUAAUUGGGUCGGUGGUAGGUGGAAAUCGGAAAAAAAUCGUUACCUGGAUGAAUGAAAAAGAAGACAAAGUGACCCAAGGAGAUCCUACUUUAAUUUUUGAGUUAAAACACAAAUUUAAAGAGGAAGUCAGCCUAAUUCAUAGUACCUGAAAAAGGGAAGGAGUUAGACCUUAAUGCUAUCAGAGGAUUAUAUAAUCGGCUUAGUGGAUGGAGAAGGAUCUUUUUACGUUAGAUUGAAUGAAGAUAUUCGACGAAGAAAUAAAGUUGAAUUAAAAUUUAGCGUAAAGCUUCGACAUCAAGAUAAGGAAAUUCUCGAAGAACUUCAAAAAUCUUUUGGAUGCGGAAAAAUCUAUCUUCAAAAAGAUAGGAGACCGAACCAUACAGAUUGUUAUAGAUUUGAAGUUAAUAAUAAAAAGGAUAUCGCUGAAAAAGUGAUUCCUUUUUUUGAGAAGAAUCCUCCUAAGAUACAAAGCCGAAAAAAAGAUUUUGACUUGUUCAAGCAGAUAGCAGAUCUGUCUCAAAUGACAGAGCUGAAUAUGGAAAAAAUUAAUCUUCUUAAACAAGAAAUGCAUUGGGGGCUCGCAGUAUACGGGAAAACCGUUCGUACUGUGGGGAACCAGUAACUAAUCAGACGAAAUUAGUGAAAAGGAAAUGCCCGUCAAACCAACCGAGUUUUGCCUUGGCGAGGCCCGUCAGGGACGAACCUCGGUAAGACAAGGUAGGUUAAGUCGUCACAAGGUCACCGUAGGGGAACCUGCGGUGGGAUCACCUCCUAA